GGCUACCAUGCAGUCGAGGGGCAGCAUUUCAGUUUGCUUGCAAACUGGAGAUGGCGACCGGCGCACGGGUGAGUAACACGCUAUCCNACCUGCCGAUAACUCGGGGAUAGCCUUUCGAAAGAAAGAUUAAUACCCGAUGGUAUAAUCAGACCGCAUGGUCUUAUUAUUAAAGAAUUUCGGUUAUCGAUGGGGAUGCGUUCCAUUAGGCAGUUGGUGAGGUAACGGCUCACCAAACCUUCGAUGGAUAGGGGUUCUGAGAGGAAGGUCCCCCACAUUGGAACUGAGACACGGUCCAAACUCNUACGGGAGGCAGCAGUGAGGAAUAUUGGUCAAUGGGCGCAGGCCUGAACCAGCCAAGUAGCGUGAAGGAUGACUGCCCUAUGGGUUGUAAACUUCUUUUAUAUGGGAAUAAAGUUUUCCACGUGUGGAAUUUUGUAUGUACCAUAUGAAUAAGGAUCGGCUAACUCCGUGCCAGCAGCCGCGGUAAUACGGAGGAUCCGAGCGUUAUCCGGAUUUAUUGGGUUUAAAGGGAGCGUAGGUGGACAGUUAAGUCAGUUGUGNAAAGUUUGCGGCUCAACCGUAAAAUUGCAGUUGAUACUGGCUGUCUUGAGUACAGUAGAGGUGGGCGGAAUUCGUGGUGUAGCGGUGAAAUGCUUAGAUAUCACGAAGAACUCCGAUUGCGAAGGCAGCUCACUGGACUGCAACUGACACUGAUGCUCGAAAGUGUGGGUAUCAAACAGGAUUAGAUACCCUGGUAGUCCACACAGUAAACGAUGAAUACUCGCUGUUUGCGAUAUACAGUAAGCGGCCAAGCGAAAGCAUUAAGUAUUCCACCUGGGGAGUACGCCGGCAACGGUGAAACUCAAAGGAAUUGACGGGGGCCCGCACAACCGAAGGAACAUGUGGUUUAAUUCGAUGAAACGCGAGGAACCUUACCCGGGCUUAAAUUGCAUUUGAAUANUNUGGAAACAGNNUAGCCGCAAGGCAAAUGUGAAGGUGCUGCAUGGUUGUCGUCAGCUCGUGCCGUGAGGUGUCGGCUUAAGUGCCAUAACGAGCGCAACCCUUAUCUUUAGUUACUAACAGGUCAUGCUGAGGACUCUAGAGAGACUGCCGUCGUAAGAUGUGAGGAAGGUGGGGAUGACGUCAAAUCAGCACGGCCCUUACGUCCGGGGCUACACACGUGUUACAAUGGGGGGUACAGAAGGCAGCUACCUGGUGACAGGAUGCUAAUCCCAAAAGCCUCUCUCAGUUCGGAUCGAAGUCUGCAACCCGACUUCGUGAAGCUGGAUUCGCUAGUAAUCGCGCAUCAGCCAUGGCGCGGUGAAUACGUUCCCGGGCCUUGUACACACCGCCCGUCAAGCCAUGAAAGCCGGGGGUACCUGAAGUACGUAACCGCAAGGAGCUCCUAG
rnacentral:rRNA from 1 species